rnacentral:rRNA from 1 species
GAUGAACGCUGGCGGCGUGCCUAAUACAUGCAAGUCGAGCGAACAGACGAGGAGCUUGCUCCUCUGACGUUAGCGGCGGACGGGUGAGUAACACGUGGAUAACCUACCUAUAAGACUGGGAUAACCUCGGGAAACCGGAGCUAAUACCGGAUAAUAUAUUGAACCGCAUGGUUCAAUAGUGAAAGACGGUUUUGCUGUCACUUAUAGAUUGAUCCGCGCCGCAUUAGCUAGUUGGUAAGGUAACGGCUUACCAAGGCAACGAUGCGUAGCCGACCUGAGAGGGUGAUCGGCCAAACUGGAACUGAGACACGGUCCAGACUCCUACGGGAGGCAGCAGUAGGGAAUCUUCCGCAAUGGGCGAAAGCCUGACGGAGCAACGCCGCGUGAGUGAUGAAGGUCUUCGGAUCGUAAAACUCUGUUAUUAGGGAAGAACAAAUGUGUAAGUAACUAUGCACGUCUUGACGGUACCUAAUCAGAAAGCCACGGCUAACUACGUG